UUCAAUGGGUGCUUUUUAAAAAGGGAUCUGCACUGAUUUAUACUAAAUCUUCGCGAAGUCCCUAAUGUUUCAACCUCCCCCCCCCCCCUCCCCAUCUCCCCCAACGCUUAUUAAGUGUCUCCAACGCUUCGCGUCCAGCAAUAUGUUUUCAUAAUUGCGGGUAAAAUCGCAACAAACCCUUUCCUCCACCACCACCCCCCCCCCCCCCAACAUCGUGUAGUUCAGAUUCAUUCUUUUUUCGUGUGAAAAUUCGGAAUUAGGUUUAGAAACUGCACCCCAGCUUUUCCAUUUGUCAAAGAAACCCAACUGAGUUACUCACCCGAUCUGAAAUUGACCUGAAAUCGAUUGACUGAAAGGUCCCAGGGAAAGGAGUAAGUUGCUGCUUGAAAUGCUGCGGGCUGCUGACUUGUGGCCGAGGAUAUCAGUGGAAACGAGUUCCGGGGCCGGAGCAAAUGAAGGGUUAAAAAGCGACAGUGUAUUGUGCAACAAUGCCCGGCACUUUACAUUUCCAUCAUGUUGAAGGGAGGACAAUUUUUCAACAGUGAUCCAUUUGGAUAGAAAAAAGCAGUUUUCAGUUAAUUAUCGUUUAACACUUUAAACAUAAUUAUGUAAACAUUUAAUAUGACCUGAAUGCUGUAUACAUGGCAGCCACCACACUCUAAAACAAUUCGUUUAACUAUGGCAGUCUAAACUGUAUCCAAGGCUGAGGUUAAGUUUAUUGAUUUACACAAUUGGAAUGAAGACUUUGGAGACUGAAGGACAGUGGGCAGUUUGUACCAUAACUAAACAGUGCAUCUUCCUUUUAUACAUCAUUAUAAACCCUUAAUUUGUCUUCUCCAUAGUUCACUCGACACGUGCAAGUGUAUUUAUUUUGGUGUGGUAUUGGGCCAGAGCAGUGCCAGUAGUCACAUUGUUCUCAGCCAAGGAAUAAAAAGGCAAGACAGUUGAGUUUUGGUGCACCUGGACUGAACAGAGAAAGGCGACUCACAGACACGUGCUGGAAAACAUGCAAGUGUGCUUGUUGGGUGAGGACAACAUCGUGCUUGACUGUUGGGCACAUUGGCAAUUUGGAUGAAACAGCAUACUACUCUAGGUGGUUAUCAGGCAAAUACUGACAUCUUUACAAAGGGGAGGUAAUGCUUGUUCUGGAUGGGCCAGGAGUGGUGGUGGUUAAUAGAAGUAUGAGUUGGUGUGGUGUGGGGGGUGGUGUGUGAAGUCUAUUCGCAUCUGGAAUACAAAUAAAAAGACUGGGUAUCUUUAAAUCCUUGUAAUGCUCAAAGAAUCAUAGAAUCCCAAAAUGAAUUCAUAUUGUUGCCGUGUGUAACUUGGUGUGAAUCUUUCUUUGUAAUCACUGCUGUGAAGGGCAUUGUGAUGUUUUGACAUAUUAAAUAUUCUAUAUAAAUGCAAUUUCUUGUUAAUAAAAGUCAAUUGCAUUUA